GACCAGAGGAGCCUGGUGGGAUCACCCAUCGGAUUACAAAGAGACACGACUGAACUACUAAACACAUAUCCACUUGGUUUCUAUUAAAAACUGUCUCAUAAUUGGAUCAGGAUCCAAAUAAGGUCUACUUUAUUCAAGUUGGUUGUUAUCCUUAUAGAUUUGAGCACUCUCCUGCUCAUUUGUACUUUUUUAUGAAACAUUUAUUACAGUGUUUUCUACUGUUUGGAUUUUGCAAAUUGUAUCACCUUGGUUUAGUUUAGCCUAUUCCUCUAUAUCUCCUGUAGAUUGGAAAUUGACUCCAGAAGCUUGAUCACUUUGGUGUGGGGGGUGGGUGGGCAAGAUUAUAGGCAGUAAAUGUCUGUUUUUUUCUCUUGGGGGAAUACCAGCAAUCAUUGACCAAUGCCCAGAUCAGCCAGUUUUUAAGAGGUGUCAAAAUGCUGGUACUCUGAUUCUAUCAUCCUUCUUUAUUUAUUAGCUAGAAUACUUGUAUGAAGGAAAAUAUCUCAUCUACUGUUUGCUUAGGGGUAUGGGAAAGGUGGGAGAAAUGCUGGGUUCACCCUCUUUAAUUCUUUUUCACACACAGUUGUCCUAUCUUUUGUCUCAAGUCCUUUUGACACAAUUGUAGUGCUUGAUAGCUUCCUUAGUAUCUAAUAUCUAAUUUAGAGAUCGUAUAGUUUAGAGUUUCUCUGAGCAGCCCUGGUUCCUUUUGUUGGAAAACUGGAGAUUAUACCCUGGGUGCCAGGGGUGCUCAUUAGUAGAAGGUGGUCUGUCUUUCUAGACCUUUUCAGUGUUCAGAGCUGGCAAGUGUGUGUGUAACUUAGCUUUACUGAGAUAUGAUUUACAUACAGUAAAUUUAUUUGUUUUAAAUGUACACGUUAUGAGUUCUGACGUGUAUAAUAACCACCACCAUGUGACAAUAUAGAACAUUCCAUUCCCCCCCAAAAGUCCCCUCAUACCCCUUUAGCACUUUAGGGUUUUGACUUGAGCUUCUUCUAUCACACAUCUGUAUCUCCCCACCCCCAAGAACUCCAAUUCUCAAGAGUACUGAGAGAUAUAAUUAGAACGUCAUGCCAUACAACUGCUCACCUGCCUUAUCCUAACCACAGCACUCUCAGAAACUGCAACACCAAUAUUCCCACCAUAUGUCUACCUGAAAAGUUUAAUUUCAUUUUUGUCGUUUGGGGUCCAAUUUUUGAUUUUGGUAUAACUGUAAAAAUCUAAAAAGCUUUAAGAAUUAUUUUUCUAAAGAAAUGUCAGUCCAACCCACAGGUACCUUUAUUUAGGUACUUUGUCUUCUUGGGGCCUCAGCCUUCACCGGAGGAUUGCAUUCCUGGUCUCAGGUCAGCUGACUGCACUAACUGGCAACGUGGAAUAUCUAAACAGCAGUCGGGGAGAAGCAUCACUGAGAGAAGGCUGUCUCCUUAGGUUGAAAUCCCGAGCUCUGGGACCAGCAGGGGCAGAAGGGACAGAUGCUUGAAGGGAACUGGUCAGAGCACACCUAUUUGCAGCUCCUCAUCCCAGCAGGGUUUUCAUGCUGCCCUGGUGUCACCGUACACAUACUGCCUUCUCCCAGUUUCCUAUUGGGCUGCUGGCCUUUUUCUUAAUGAUUUCUGAGAGCUCAUCAUAUAUUGUAGAACAUCAUACUUUAUCAGAGACAUGGAUUAAAAUUAUUUCCCCUCCCCAUUCUUUUUAUUUAGUUAAAGAUUUUUAAAUGUUUCAUGUAACUAAAUUUAAUACUUAUUUAUGUGUUCUGGAUCACGAGUCAUACCUAGAAAAGCCUUUCCCUCUUAAAGAUUAUUAUAAAAUUCCUCUACUUCUGUGGCUUGAUUUUUAGGUAUUAACAUUUGAGCUAGCUGAAUGGAUUUUGUUGUAAAGAAUGAAGUGGGAAAAAAAAUGAAGUUGAGUUCUAACUUUUUAAA